UUUAUUUUGUUUUGUUUUUCUGAGGCAGGGUUUCUCUGUGUAAUAGCUCUAGCUGUCCUGGAACUUGCUCUGUAGACGAGGCUGGACUCGAACUCACUGAGAUCUGCCUGCCUCUGCCUCCCGAGUGCUUGGAUUUAUAGGUGUGUACUACCACUAUUCUUAAAAAAAAAGAAAAGGAGCUGGGGAGAUAGCUCAAUGGUUAAGAGAAAUUGUUGCUCUUGGAGAGGACCCAGGUUUAGUUCCCAGAACCCACAAAAAUGGCUUACAAGCACCCAUAACUCCAGUUCUUCUAAGAGAUCUGGAGUCCUCUUCUGCCUUCUGUGGGCACCAGGCAUACAUGUGGUGCACACAUUCAUGCACUCAGGCACAACACUCAUAUACACGAUUUAAAACAAAGAAACCCACGCUACUUUUGAAGGAAGAAAAGAAAAUGUGAUAGUGGUCAAAACAGGGGACUAGAGCUGGUUGGGUAGGGAAGGCAGACCAAAGGCUGAAGGAAAGAGCCUCAGAAAACAGCCUCCCUCCCCCUCCCCCACCCCAACCCCCCACACAUGCAUGUGUACACUGAUUCCAAAGGGCGCUGGGCUCCAAGUCCCUGUGACGUGGGCCCUGGAUGCAGUCCUGCCAUUCAAUACCCAGCCUUAUAGAGAGUCCAGGUGAAUCAGUGGGGAGCAGCCUGGUUCCAGGCGGCUCUGUGGGAGUGGCAGUUAAGUUACUUGACCUGCCAAGGCUUUCGAGGACAAGGCAGAGAAUGGAACCCUCCACUUUCUGCUAAUGCUUUGACCCCAGAUAACGACCGGACAUGGAGCAGCAAUGCAGGUGGAUAAGAGGAACCUGGAGCUGGGAGAGGGUGGGGAGCUGGGGGAGGGGGACUACAAGGACUACGGCCUCCAGAAUAGAGACAACCAGGGGUGGGCAGGGCAAAGCUGGGGCCAAACAGAGAGGGAGAGAAGGCCAGAGCAGCCACACCUGAGGCUCCGGCAGGGACAAUGCUGAAACAGUAUCAUUUCCUGUCAUUUACAGGAGUCUAGGAAAGGGAAGUCAAAGUCUUCACAUGGCACGCAUGACCAAAGUCCCUGUUCCUUCUCCUCUUUCUACAAGAUCCCCUCCUCCCUCAUGCCUUUGAUCCCAGCACUCAGAGGCAAGUGGAUCUCUGUGAGUUCAAGGCCAGCCUGGUCCACAGAGUGGGUUCCCUGAAGGUGGGGAAAAAAGACCCCCCCCCUUCUCCUCUGGCUCCUAAGGAUAGAAAUCGUGAUGAAUGGAAAAAUAGGAACCAAUUCCAAAUCUUAUUCCACAACGCAACAAGACAGGGUCGCUUUUGGUUCUCAGCUCUGAUGAUUGGAUGGGCAGAGGAACUGCAGAUGAGAAAAGUGGGGUUCCACUCAGACAUUCCCCAGUUUCUCUUUACUGAAGCCAGGAGGGUUCCCUCUACCCCUCUCACUAUGAAUAAAGAAGACUACCCAAGGCUCUGAAAUUCUGGAAGAACUGGUCCUGGUCUCAUCCUCCUCCACCACCAGGGCAGUGAUGGGGAGGAGGGUGGCAGAGGUUACAUCACAGAUGGGUGGAGACUGAAGGAGAGCCUUCUUGAUGACGUGGAGCAAUGACAAGUUUGGCAUGGCUCUCUGUGCCCUCCCCUCCACUCUAGGGCCUCCCAAAAGCUAGACAGUGCCUCUGGGGCUUGCAUUAGCUCCUUGCCCAUUUCAUGGGGCCCCAUCCGGCUCUGCAGACAUUGUUUUAUAUAACAAGUAUUUAUUGGGUACCUGUCUGCCUGCUCCAAGUGGGAUACUGGGCUUGACCUCAAGGAUACAAAAAUGAGCAAAACUCGACCCUGGCCACAAGGAGUUCACGGUCUAUUCAGGGAGGCAGAUACACAUAAUAGAGUACACUAUGGAGCAAAGGGAGUGGGGAUAAUCCUGGCAGAGACAGGAUAAAGCAAGAGGUCACAAAAGAAAUGGUGUCUUUGCACAGGGGCCUAAGGGAUGCAUAGAAGUUCUCUCGGAGAUGGUAGAGGAAGCGUCAAGGCAGAGAAAAUAACUAAGACAAACAAGUAUGAAAGGCCCAGUGCAGAGGCCCUGGGGUACGGUGCA